AUGCUGCAGCCUUGCUCUUCCCUUCUGCCUUUUCUCCAGCAGCCCCUCCCAGCUUUGGGGACGUGUCUCCCACUUAGGGACCCCAGCAGCUCUGCUCAGUACCUGAGUUUGACCGAGAAAUGUCGUAUACUUUGGCUUUUCUGGGCUCUGACAGCACUGUCAAAAAAGGAGAGAGGACAGGUCAAGCCUCAGCAGGGCUCAGGCCCAGAGGAUGCAGGAGGACGGGGCUGUUCCCUCCAAGCCCCUGCCCAGGGGCACUCAGGGAAGGGCUCGGGCCCUCAGCUGACGGGGGGGACCCCGCUGUGUGCUGCUCCUCUGCCUUGGGCCUCAGGGGACUCGCGGCCAGCUCUGGGUCGCAGCCACAGCGGGAGCUGCGUUCCUGCAGGUGUCCCCUUCCCCACCACCUGCAGAAGGUGGCAACGAUGUCUGGAACCCAGAACCCUUUCAGCUUUGGCUGCUGACGGGAGGUGCAGGAGCGGGCCCAGGAGAAGAGCCUGCAGACACACAGUCAGCCCAAGGGGUGACACGGGCUGGCCACGGGACAGCAGUUACCUGGCAUGGCCUCUGUCGCUCCACCCGGGACUGGCAGGGAGUUGCUGUGUUCUUCUGGAAACGCCACCUCCUGCACAGCCUCUUGGGCCAUCACUAGGGAAAGGAAGCGGGACAGUUGGGUCAGAUGGAAGCCUUCCCCAGCAGGGAGGUGGCACCUUCAGGAGGCAGUACUUCUCCGAGACACCCAUGAGGGUGAGAAACAAUUCCUCCCAUCCCAGCUGUCGCUCUGCAGACAGGAAAUCGAGCAGAGCCCCAAAAGCUUCCAAAUCAGCAUCUCCAGCUGACUUGCAGGACUAGGAUAGGGCAGCCAGCCUUGCUUGGGACCCCGCUCUCCCCUGGAACUCGCCCAAUGGGCCAGCAGAGCUGUGGGGCAGCUGGACACAAGUGCAGCACGUGCCAGGACCCCAAAUCUGUCCCCGACCUCUGCGCAAACAGCUCUGAGUCCUCAUGGUCCCAGUGGGGCAGCGGCUGCCCCUGGCACCCGGCUGUGGCCACCACUGGCCGCAGAGGCCCUGGACCAUCCCUGGGGCUCGGCAGCGCCCGCAAGGGCUGAAACCCAGCGUGGCUGCGGCGAGGCUCUGAUGGAUCCCUUCCUGCUCUGCAGGCUACAGCCCGUCCAGGCGUGGAGCAAAACCCUCUGGUGUGCGAGUCCCACGGCUACCGCAGAGUGAAAUACACCCACCGUGUAGUGCAUGCAUCUUCUUGAGAAUGUCCAUGAGGACUUCAGGUGGCUCCGGGGUCUUUUUCUCUUCUUCAGUUGGGUUCUUCUCCCUUGGAAGACCUUCACAGAAAGUAUUUGGUUCACUCUCGUAUCAAUCAAUUACAGAAAAGCAGUGCAAAGCCGGUGAGGUCAGCAGGGACAGACAAUUCCCCCUGCGACCUCAGCCGGGAUCUAGGGCAGGAUCCAGCCAAGGAGAUGGAAGAGCCUCCCCUUUGGGCACGUCUCUCAAAUAAACACCCAGGAGAAGCCUCCA
rnacentral:lncRNA from 1 species